GAUGAACGCUAGCGGCAGGCCUAACACAUGCAAGUCGAGCGAGACCUUCGGGUCUAGCGGCGGACGGGUUAGUAACGCGUGGGAACGUGCCCUUCUCUGCGGAAUAGCCACUGGAAACGGUGAGUAAUACCGCAUACGCCCUUCGGGGGAAAGAUUUAUCGGAGAAGGAUCGGCCCGCGUUAGAUUAGAUAGUUGGUGGGUAACGGCCUACCAAGUCUACGAUCUAUAGCUGGUUUUAGAGGAUGAUCAGCAACACUGGGACUGAGACACGGCCCAGACUCCUACGGGAGGCAGCAGUGGGGAAUCUUAGACAAUGGGCGCAAGCCUGAUCUAGCCAUGCCGCGUGUGUGAUGAAGGUCUUAGGAUCGUAAAGCACUUUCGCCAGGGAUGAUAAUGACAGUACCUGGUAAAGAAACCCCGGCUAACUCCGUG
rnacentral:rRNA from 1 species